rnacentral:rRNA from 1 species
GACGAACGCUGGCGGCGUGCUUAACACAUGCAAGUCGAGCGGUAAGGCCCUUCGGGGUACACGAGCGGCGAACGGGUGAGUAACACGUGGGUGACCUGCCCUCAGCUCUGGGAUAAGCCUGGGAAACUGGGUCUAAUACCGGAUAUGACCAUAUGCUGCAUGGUGUGUGGUGGAAAGUUUUUCGGCUGGGGAUGGGCCCGCGGCCUAUCAGCUUGUUGGUGGGGUGAUGGCCUACCAAGGCGACGACGGGUAGCCGGCCUGAGAGGGCGACCGGCCACACUGGGACUGAGACACGGCCCAGACUCCUACGGGAGGCAGCAGUGGGGAAUAUUGCGCAAUGGGCGGAAGCCUGACGCAGCGACGCCGCGUGGGGGAUGACGGCCUUCGGGUUGUAAACCACUGUCGGGAGGGACGAAUGCGCCGCAAGGCGAGUGACGGUACCUCCAAAGGAAGCACCGGCUAACUCCGUGCCAGCAGCCGCGGUAAUACGGAGGGUGCGAGCGUUGUCCGGAAUUAUUGGGCGUAAAGAGCUCGUAGGCGGUGUGUCGCGUCGGCCGUGAAAACCUGUGGCUUAACUAUGGGCUUGCGGUCGAUACGGGCAUCACUGGAGUUCGGCAGGGGAGACUGGAAUUCCUGGU